GGAGAACAGAAGGAGAGAAGAUAACAGAGGCAGAAGAGAAGUGAAGAGAUGUCAUCCACCGAAACACAGCACCAAACAUACUGGUGCCACGAAUGCGACAUGAGCCUCCACCUCCUCUCCACCACUGCUGAUCCCCUUCUUUGCCCUCACUGCCUCCGUGACCGUCUUGAACUCAUGGAUGACCCCACCCCCACUACUCCUACCGGAACCACCGACACCAACUCUUUCUUCCUCGAUAGCCCCUCCUUCCGCCGCUUCUUUCUCCCACUUUUCAACGACAUCAACCAUUCCGACGAUGAUACAAGUGGAACUCUCUCCCCCUCCAUAGACUCCAUCCUUCCCACCAUCAAAAUCACAUCUUUCCAUCUGAAGGGAAGGGAGGACGACGACCCAGUGCUUCUCUGCGCGGUAUGCAAGGACCAGUUUGUCAUCGACAUCGAUGCAAAGCUCCUCCCUUGCAAUCACUUGUUCCAUCCCGAAUGCAUUCUGCCCUGGCUUAAUUCCAACCACAGGUCAUGUCCUCUCUGUCGCUUCCAGCUACCUACACCAUCAAAGAACGAUAGAACGGUGGUUCCUACGAGUGAGUCGUCCUCUCAUUUGUCAUCUCCAUCGCACAUGGCGGAAGUGCGAGAGCCUGAGCAGUUGGUGGACUGCAUUGGAAGCUUUAAUAAUGCUGGGAUGGAAACGGGAUUUACUCAUCAGGAUACUGCUGAUUGUGCUUUCCCUGAUGUUGGGGUUUUAUCCAGCUAUCUUCCUUCACACUUUUAGGUAAGUAACUUGCAUUCUUUAUUCAUAUAAUCAGCUAUGUAAUAUGCAUUUGAUUUGGGUCUUCACAUUGGUGCUUUGUGCCUAGCUAAUCUAUUCAUUACAUGUUCAUUUUCAAAGGAAUGUGAAUUAAUAGACUUUGCUUCUCAAUUCCAAAAUAUUUUACUAAUUUGACUAUUGGUGUUUCAGAUUUUGAGGAUUGUCAAAUGGAUUAUAACAUAGGAGUAUGAAAUGCUUAAUUUCAGAGUUCAUAUGGGAUCAGGGUCACUGUUGGGUUAUUUGCUGAUCUCAUUUUUUUUCCCAAUAUGCGUCUUAAAAUCAUCUCCUGUUCAAUUAAAAACAAGGGGUAGCAUUUACAACUGAUUUAGUCUCAGAAGCCUUUAAAACUAUUGUUUUUAGCCUUUAAUUUUGCUUUUUUCAGUUAAUAGAUACCAGGAUGAACAAUAGCCUUUUUGGAGAAGGCAAUAUUAGAAGCCACAAAGAUGAAAUUUAUGUUAAUCUUGGAAUUGUGUACGUAGUUUUCAGUGGCUUUUGAUCAGAUAUUUUUGCUGAAACUUUCCCUUUACUGCUUUUGAAUUUCAUAUUUCUUAGAUGAUUAAAUUUCAAGUAUUUACGGAAUUUUGUCAACUUUUGUUUUCUGUUAGCUUACUGAUCUCUAUUUCCCUUCCAUUCAACUAAUUCUUUUUAAAUGAAAAACCAUUUUGAAGGCUUCCACCUAGAUUACUAUUUCUCGACGUUGUUCUUGUUACAUUAUAAGCUUCUACUUUCAAUAAUCAUCGAAUUUUGACUGCAUUCGUUUAUUGUUUUUCUAAAUACUAAUGUCUGUGGCAAAUAGAUAUUCAUGCAUAAGUUUUGUGUUUUACAACCUUAAAGAACAAUUUUCGUGCCUAAUCAUGCUAAUUUUCCAAGUUUACAAUUUUAGUUCAUGAAUAACAGCUUAAUGUAUGUUAAUUUGUCUAUGUGGAUUUGUGCAUAGGACUAUGCAAGUUUAAAGAAGGCGGAACAAAAUAAUCAUGUUUAGAUACUUGAGCUAGGUCUUGGCGGUAUAAAAGGUGAGGAUGUAAAGGUAGGAGGCUAGGAGCAGUUCAUCUAUUUAGAUGGACCUUGACUCAAGAUCAAAUUCUAGUUGAGCUAGGCCAAAGAAUGAACAGAAAACUAAUUUAUGUUCUUGGGUGAAUAUAUACAGUAGGAUUGAUAUUGUGUUGUAGAAAUACAGAACAUUCAGGACUUAUACAAGUAAAUGCAAGCCUUGAAAGAAGAAAAAAAAGUGAUGAUAGACUUACAUAGUCUAAGGAAUUUUGACUGGCAUAAAGGUUUUCUAAAAUCUUGGACCGUAUGAUAUUCUAGACCUACAUUUGAUGAGUUUUAUCAUAUAAGAAUGCAAAUUUUUUACUUAGUCUUGUUGUUGAGGCAAGUCUUGUUGUUGAGGCAAAAGUAAACUUGUUUUAUUGAAAUUUUACAUGAAUUAAAUGAAGACAUGACUGAACUUCCCUUUUUAAAGUAAAUAUGGAUUGUUUUCUUUGUAGUCCCAAGAAGUUUGCUCCUAGGUAUUCUAAUUAACUACAACAAGACUGCACCUAAAAAAUUGACUGGACAUGAGUGAUAUCACCAUAUUAGAUAGAGUGGAGGACUCUAGACACCAGUAUGGUGAGACUUUUGCUGCCUAGUUACACAGGAAUCAGACCAUUUGGGCAGAGCCCAUCUGAGAUCAUGAGAUUGUUUCUAGAUGUCCUGCUUAGCCUGGUACUGGCUUGAUUAGUAGCCCACUUCUUUAGCUAGCAUGUCAGUUAAUUAUUUCUUGAUAUGGUCUGCUUCAUUUCACAAUUGAGGCUGAGAAUUGCUAUUUAUAAUCCAUUUCGUACUCUUUGAGGCAGGUGAUUUAACAGUAUUAUUUGAGGUUUUCGUUGGUUUUCUCAUCUUAAAACGGUUUAAUGAAGUGUAAAUCAGCACUGAGUGAUCAUGGUACUGCGAAUAACGAUUGACGGUAUGAAGGACUUGCUGGGCUUUUGUAAUCAUCCAUCAGUCUAAUGAAUUGUAAAUCAGCAGCAGAUGAACGUACAACUGCAAAUAAUAUUUUACGGUUGUGCAUUCUCCCUCCCUCUCUCUAUCUCUAAGAAUAUUGUGUAAGCCAAUAUCUACUUUUGGGACUGGAUUUUGACUAAUAAAUAGAAAGGUCAGUUGCAACUCUGGCUUCUAAUUGCAAUUUGCAUGGAAAUUGUGGAGCUCAUAAUUCUGUUGUUCAGCUAAUCAUUUUACUUUGCCAUGAUUUUCUCCAUUCAUCAUUCUUUCUUGGCUUGAGCAAAGAAAAAGUUGAGUAAGAAAGAUCCAACUGUUUGAUUGUCAGUGUUGCUUAAGGCAGUGGUCCUGGUUCAUAAUUUUUCACUGGAUGUUGAGAAAACAAAUAGAAAAGUCGGCAGCAACUUGAGUUAUAUGAAAGACCACCUAUGGCUAAGGGUUUCUUGUCUGUUAAAAGGUCGUUUGGUGUUUGGGAUCUUUACUCUAAUGGAAUCAUCUUAGCCUUUUAUAAAUAUUAUUAGCUUUAGAUGAGGUCUGUGUUGGCAAUUUCUGUAACUAAUUGGCUAACAAGUGUUUGGAAGGAGGUCACAUGUAGGAAAUGAACAAAAAAAAGCGAGGUGGCUCCACAUAACAUUAGAAUUUAGAAGCAACACUUGCUUUGGGACUUCCUCUCUUGAGAUUGCUAUGAUGGCUAAAGAUCACUCGUAUACUGCAAGUAAUCCUUCCUUUGCAUCAUCCCUUAUGGUCCACCAUUGAAUAAUCAUUUUCAUUUCUUCAAGAAAUAUAUUAAAUUAAACACUCUUUUAACCAAUAAGCAAGCCUAAUAAACUUCUCAUAAUUGUUAUUACUUUUUAACUAUUUCAUAUUAACUUUAGUCUAAACUCGAGACAUUAAAGAUAAAUUUUGGUCUUAGCUCUAGAACUCAGGAUUGCCCAUUAUUUGACUUAUCUAGAGCAGCAACUUCUAGGGAUCAUCAUAGGUAAUAAAAGUAAAAUUUAUUCUGGAACAUAAGGAAUUAGGAAAUUUCUAAAGUAGUCAACAUAUGUUAUCAUCCAAUACGUGUUACCAGGUACCAAAGAUUAAAGAUACCAUUAAAUAAAUACCCAUAAGCCAAAAUUAAUGUACUAGCUUUGAAAAGUCAAGUGGUCAAAUAUGCAAGGCUCAUGCUCUCCCUGUAUAUAUAUACAUGUAUCCAUUAAUCUCCAUCACCUAUCUUCAACUACAAAUUUGCACUGCUUCGUGGAGCAUCAGCUCAACAAAUCAAAGGUUUCUAUUAACUUCUAAGCUCUCUGGAAUUGCUCAUUAUUCACAAGGCAAAGGGAUGAUGACGGAAAGCAGCUUAGAGGACAUGCUAUUGAAGGUGGCCAUGUUUGCUGUGGUGCAAGCACUGGUUUAUAUCAUCCUUUCCAAAUCAUCAAACAUCUUCUCCAAGACCAUAGAUAGAUCAUCUAGCUUCAAGACAGCUCGUUCUGUUAGCAUUCGAAGGAUUCUUGCUGCUCUAGAAGACUUGCCUAGUGGUGGUGAACUCUCUCCUUCUCCAAAGAAUUGACCAUCAUCCUCUACGCCGCAUAAGUCAACAGAUAAAGAUCGGAGAUCAUAGGCUUCAAAAGAUAUGUUUUGAUUAUGUAUACAAGUUCUAUAUAUUCAGUUUGUUACAGCUGUGCAUAUACAUAUAUGGAUUUGAGUAUUUGAUAAUAUGAUUCUUUAGUUAUUUGAUUUGAUUUUCAAUAUUGGAAUCCUAGAAUGAGUAAAGCGAUGGGUUUUUCUUAA
rnacentral:misc_RNA from 1 species